AUUUACCAUGCAGACAUAACGUUCACUCGUUUUGCCAUGUGACUGCAGGUCAUCCGUACUACACUUGCAAGUGCAUGGACCACUUCAAAGGGUCCGACUGUGACGAAAAUCAUUGGUGCUCUUACGACAACAGAUGUUCAAAUAACGGGACCUGUACACCCAUUGACCAAUCACCUUUCUAUCACUGCGCAUGCCCAAGCGGAUCUUCCGGACUGGAGUGUAAAGAUCAUGAUGCGUGCUCGAGUAGCCCAUGCCAGCACGGGGCAACGUGUCACGUGAAGGCAGCUGCUCCUUACUUCAC